ACAGGAACAGGAACAGGAACAGGAACAAUUAUAUAUGGAUGGAGUUCACAAGCAUAAUCAUGAUAAUAUGAGCGUUAACUAUGCUGGGAAAUGUCCAGAAAAAUGCCCAGAAAAAUGUAAUGAAAAUUUAAAAAAAAAAAAAAAAAAAAAAAAUUUAUUUUUUAAUAUUAUAAAACGUAUUAUUUUUAAUAAUGAUUCAUUAAACAUAAAGAAUUGUAUCGAAUUUUAUAAAUAUUAUUGGAAUAAAGAAUGUUGUUAUACAAAAGUAAGGAAAACUAUUUAUAAGAAAAUAUAUUUUUUUCUGCAAAGUAAUAUAAAAUGUAAUAAUAAACAUUAUUUGUAUUAUGUUUUGUAUAGCUUAUUUCAAACGCCAAUAUUAUUAUCGUACUCAUGGUUUUAUAAAGUCAAGAAAAGAAAAGGCAAAAAUUAUAUUCAUCCUAAUAUCGUAAAGCAAAGACAACCCCUUUUGAAAAAAAAUGUAAAUAUAAAUGGUCAUGCAAAUGGUUAUGGCAUUACGAAAAACAAGUUAACCUGCUGGGGGGAAAAGAAUUUUAUAAGAUAUUUAAAUAAAGUAUUUAAGUUUAUAGCAUUACAUAGAUAUAACAUACACAAUGAAAAACAAAAAAUAAGUUUUAAUUGUUUUAUUUCUACUCUUAUUAAUUUAUCAACAAGGAUGAAUAGUAUGGAUAAUAUAAAUAAAAACUUUAUUAAAACUGUUAAUUUAUUAAAAGUGAAUUGUUGUAACGUAAGGGAAGAUGGAGAAGAAGUAGAAUGGGAAAAAGUGGAAUGGGAAGAAGAGCAACGAGAGAAGAAACAAAAGGGACAAGGUAAACUAUGCAAAAAUGAUUUUUUAAAAAAAAAAAAAAAAAAAAAACUGACAGUAACGAAAGCGGUAAUAACGAAAGUGGUAAUAACGAAAGUGGUAAUAACGAAAGUGGUAAUAACGAAAGUGGUAAUUAUAAGAAUAAAAAGUAUCAAUAUAUAGAUAAAACUUGUGAAAAAAAAAAGAAUCCAAUUUAAAAAAUAAAAAUAACAAUGUUUUAUUUUAUAACCA
rnacentral:lncRNA from 1 species